UACGAAGGGGGCUAGCGUUGUUCGGAAUCACUGGGCGUAAAGCGCACGUAGGCGGACGGGUAAGUCAGGGGUGAAAUCCCGCGGCUCAACCGAGGAAUUGCCUUUGAUACUGCAAGGCUCGAGUCCGGGAGAGGGUAGUGGAAUUCCCAGUGUAGCGGUGAAAUGCGUAGAUAUUGGGAGGAACACCAGUGGCGAAGGCGGCUCCCUGGACCGGUUCUGACGCUGAGGCGAGAAAGCGUGGGGAGCAAACAGG
rnacentral:rRNA from 1 species